UAGUCCACGCCGUAAACGAUGAAUACUAGGUGUUGGGGGUCAAACCUCGGUGCCGCAGCUAACGCAUUAAGUAUUCCGCCUGGGGAGUACGCACGCAAGUGUGAAACUCAAAGGAAUUGACGGGGACCCGCACAAGUAGCGGAGCAUGUGGUUUAAUUCGAAGCAACGCGAAGAACCUUACCAAAUCUUGACAUCCAAGUGACCGGUCCUUAAUCGGACCUUCCCUUCGGGGCACCUGAGACAGGUGGUGCAUGGUUGUCGUCAGCUCGUGUCGUGAGAUGUUGGGUUAAGUCCCGCAACGAGCGCAACCCUUAUUUUUAGUUGCCAUCAGGUUAAGCUGGGCACUCUAGAGAGACUGCCGUGGACAACACGGAGGAAGGUGGGGAUGACGUCAAAUCAUCAUGCCCCUUAUGAUUUGGGGCUACACACGUGCUACAAUGGUCGGGUACAACGGGGCAGCGAAAGAGUAAUC
rnacentral:rRNA from 1 species